rnacentral:rRNA from 1 species
GCACCUACGGGAGGCAGCAGUGGGGAAUAUUGCACAAUGGGGGAAACCCUGAUGCAGCGACGCCGCGUGAGCGAUGAAGUAUCUCGGUAUGUAAAGCUCUAUCAGCAGGGAAGAAAGUGACAGUACCUGACUAAGAAGCCCCGGCUAACUACGUGCCAGCAGCCGCGGUAAUACGUAGGGGGCAAGCGUUAUCCGGAUUCACUGGGCGUAAAGGGAGCGCAGGCGGCACG